AGUGAACGCUGGCGGUAGGCCUAACACAUGCAAGUCGAACGGCAGCACAGUAAGAGCUUGCUCUUACGGGUGGCGAGUGGCGGACGGGUGAGGAAUACAUCGGAAUCUACUUUUUCGUGGGGGAUAACGUAGGGAAACUUACGCUAAUACCGCAUACGACCUACGGGUGAAAGCAGGGGAUCUUCGGACCUUGCGCGAUUGAAUGAGCCGAUGUCGGAUUAGCUAGUUAGCGGGGUAAAGGCCCACCAAGGCGACGAUCCGUAGCUGGUCUGAGAGGAUGAUCAGCCACACUGGAACUGAGACACGGUCCAGACUCCUACGGGAGGCAGCAGUGGGGAAUAUUGGACAAUGGGCGCAAGCCUGAUCCAGCCAUACCGCGUGGGUGAAGAAGGCCUUCGGGUUGUAAAGCCCUUUUGUUGGGAAAGAAAAGCAGCAGGUUAAUACCCCGCUGUUCCGACGGUACCCAAAGAAUAAGCACCGGCUAACUUCGUG
rnacentral:rRNA from 1 species